rnacentral:rRNA from 1 species
CUCCUACUGGAGGCAGCAGUACGGAAUCUUACACAAUGGACAAAAGUCCGACCGAGCAACAGCCACGUGGAGUGAUGAAGGUUUUCAGCAUCGGAAAGCUCAGUUGUUAGGGAAGAACAAGUACCGUUCGAAUAAGGACGGUACCUGGACGGUACCUAACCAAAAAGCCACGGCCUAACUAAGUGCCAGCAGCCCCGGUAAUACGUAGGUGGCAAGCGUUGUCCGGAAUUAAUUGGGCGUAAAGGACUCGCAGGCGGUUCCUUAAGUCUGAUGUGAAAGCCCCCGGCUCAACCGGGGAGGGUCAUUGGAAACUGGGGAACUUGAGUGCAGAAGAGGAGAGUGGAAUUCCACGUGUAGCGGUGAAAUGCGUAAAGAUGUGGAGGAACACCAGUGGCGAAGGCGACUCUCUGGUCUGUAACUGACGCUGAGGAGCGAAAGCGUGAGGAGCGAACACGAUUAGAUACCCUGGUAGUCCACGCCGCAAACGAUGAGUACUAAGUGUUAGGGGGUUUCCGCCCCUUAGUGCUGCAGCUAACGCAUUAAGCACUCCGCCUGGGGAGUACGGUCGCAAGACUGAAACUCAAAGGAAUUGACGGGGGCCCGCACAAGCGGUGGACCAUGUGGUUUAAUUAGAAGCAACGCGAAGAACCUUACCAGGUCUUGACAUCCUCUGACAAUCCUAAAAGAAAGAACAUCCCCUUCCAGGGGCAGACUAACAGGUGCUGCAUGUGUCGUCGUCAGCU